GAUGAAGAACGCAGCGAAAUGCGAUAAGUAAUGUGAAUUGCAGAAUUCAGUGAAUCAUCGAAUCUUUGAACGCACAUUGCGCCCGCCAGUAUUCUGGCGGGCAUGCCUGUUCGAGCGUCAUUACAACCCUCAGGCCCCCGGGCCUGGCGUUGGGGAUCGGCGGAAGCCCCCUGCGGGCACAACGCCGUCCCCCAAAUACAGUGGCGGUCCCGCCGCAGCUUCCAUUACGUAGUAGCUAACACCUCGCAACUGGAGAGCGGCGCGGCCACGCCGUAAAACACCCAACUUCUGAAUGUUGACCUCGAAUCAGGUAGGAAUACCCGCUGAACUUAAGCAUAUCAAUAAGCGGAGGA
rnacentral:misc_RNA from 1 species